rnacentral:sRNA from 1 species
UCAACAAACGUCGAUGCAGUCACAGUUCCUGGGCUGAGGCUGGGGGAUGGGAGGAAGUCCUGAGGGCAGCCCCCGCCCCCUUCCCCGCCCCGUCACUCCCUCUGCCCCGCCUGCACAGCUUCUUGCCAAUUCAUUCCCGCCCCUACCGCCCCUAUAAGCCACCAGGUCGCUCCAGUUUGGUGCCAGCGCCUGGAGGGAGAGGCGUGGCGAGGGCUGUGCUGCCUAGGAUCCACUGAGUGGCUUUUGCUGGCGUCUCAGCUGCGCGCGAACCAGGGCUGGAAGGCUCGGCUGGAGGUGUGACCAGGGCAGGGACUGACCUGGCCCGGAACAGAAGAGCGCAGAGUCCCAUCCUGCCACGCCACGAGGAGAGAAGAAGGAAAGAUACAGUGUUAGGAAAGAGACCUCCCUCGCCCCUACGCCCCGCGCCCCUGCGCCUCGCUUCAGCCUCAGGACAGUCCUGCCGGGACGUGUGCGGCAGCGCUGCCUCAUCCAGCAGAAGCGGCGCCGCCACCGCGCCACCAGGAAGAUUGGCAUUGCUAUUGCGACCUUCCUCAUCUGCUUUGCCCCGUAUGUCAUGACCAGGCUGGCGGAGCUCGUGCCCUUCAUCACCGUGAACGCCCAGUGGGGCAUCCUCAGCAAGUGCCUGACCUACAGCAAGGCGGCGGCCGACCCGUUCACGUACUCUCUGCUCCGCCGGCCGUUCCGCCAAGUCCUGGCCGGCAUGGUGCACCGGCUGCUGAAGAGAACCCCGCGCCCAGCAUCCACCCAUGACAGCUCUCUGGAUGUGGCCGGCGUGGUGCACCAGCUGCUGAAGAGAACCCCGCGCCCAGCGUCCACCCACAACGGCUCUGUGGACACAGAGAAUGAUUCUUGCUUGCAGCAGACACACUGAGGGCCUGGCAGGGCUCAUCGCCCCCACCUUCUAAGAAGCCCUGUGGAAAGGGCACUGGCCCUGCCACAGAGAUGCCACUGGGGACCCCCAGACACCAGUGGCUUGACUUUGAGCUGAGGCUGAAGUACAGGAGGAGGAGGAGGAGAGGGCCGGAUGU